ACUUACGGCCAUAUCACGUUGAAAGCUCCGGUUUUCGUCCGAUCACCAAAGUUAAGCAACGUCGAGCCUAGUGAGUACUUAGAUGGGUGACCACUUGGGAAACCUAGGAGCUGUAAGCG
rnacentral:rRNA from 1 species